GCUUGCUAGGGCUUGGACAAAGGACACGAGUUCGACGUCCGUGUGGCGCACGAGACUUCACACCUUGCUACUACUACCCCUCGAGAGCCGGGACCCAGCGUGCCGGCGGACGAUCGCGGUAAGGGCAUCGCGCCCUAGAUAGAGACCGCCCGAGUUGUUCAUUUACCUUAGUUGCAUACCCUUUAUUAUAUUAUCUUUUGUACCUCGAUGACGAACUUACCUUAAUGAAUGAUGUAAGGCAUAUUUACUUUAAAUGUCAAAAGUUAUAUUUUGGAUGAAAUGAGAUGUAAAAAGAAAUGAUGCAAAGUUGUAAUAGAUUCUAUAAGUGUAGUUGUUUACUUUCACUCUUGGCUAUUGCUUGCCCUUG